rnacentral:lncRNA from 1 species
AAGAACUCACACAGCUCAGUGUCACAUGCUUACUGUAAACUGUAGAAUCUACUUGUCUACCUGCUUCCAGUCUUCAAGCUCUAGAGCCCAAACCACAGCCUGCUCUGGAGCCAGAGCCAAAGCAAUGCUUCCAUCUAAAGCCGGAGCCCCACACAGGUAUGAAACAGUUGUCAGAAAUAGCAGUGACACAAAGUGACUGCCCAUCCCAGAGGAAACUCUCAGCAGUAAAACAACCUCAGAGCUAAGACAUUAUACUAUAUACCAGUAUCUCCAUUUGAAUGUCCUGGACCCAAGAAAAGAACUGGAACAUUUUGCUCCGUGUACAGCAACUUCAAAGUUGCUCUAUCCUGCCCACAGUCUGCACUGAUACAUUUGAGAGUUAUGGCUCCAACUGGAUAUGCAAUAGAGGAUUGCCUAUUGGGAAUCACUUGGAGGGGAGCAUUCUUGAGAACAGUUUAUGGGAGAAGUGGUCACCUGUUUCAAGCUCCUGACACCUUGACUUCCUGGCUUUAUGGUCUGUGCCCUUCAAUUGUGAACCAUAAGUCCUUUCUCCCGAGAAGUUCACUUUCCCCACGCUCGACUUCUGCCUGAUGGACCAACACUAGAUCUCCACAUCAGUUGGGCAUCAUUAAAAAGAAAAGGCUCCAUGUUUCCUGGGAAAUCCGGUCAUUGCAGAGCAUUUAAGUACAGCAAGAAUUUAUAUCACUCCCGACCCAG